AGCGAACGCUGGCGGCAGGCUUAACACAUGCAAGUCGAGCGGGCACUUCGGUGUCAGCGGCAGACGGGUGAGUAACACGUGGGAACGUACCCUUCGGUUCGGAAUAACGCUGGGAAACUAGCGCUAAUACCGGAUACGCCCUUUUGGGGAAAGGUUUACUGCCGAAGGAUCGGCCCGCGUCUGAUUAGCUAGUUGGUGGGGUAAUGGCCUACCAAGGCGACGAUCAGUAGCUGGUCUGAGAGGAUGAUCAGCCACACUGGGACUGAGACACGGCCCAGACUCCUACGGGAGGCAGCAGUGGAGAAUAUUGGACAAUGGGCGCAAGCCUGAUCCAGCCAUGCCGCGUGAGUGAUGAAGGCCUUAGGGUUGUAAAGCUCUUUUGUCCGGGACGAUAAUGACGGUACCGGAAGAAUAAGCCCCGGCUAACUUCGUG
rnacentral:rRNA from 1 species